rnacentral:rRNA from 1 species
CCCUUAGAUGUUCUGGGCUGCACGCGCGCUACACUGAUGCGUUCAACGAGUGUACAUCCUUGCCCGUUAGGGUUGGGUAAUCUUUUGAACACGCAUCGUGAUGGGGAUAGAUUAUUGCAAUUAUUAAUCUUCAACGAGGAAUGCCUAGUAAGCGCAAGUCAUCAGCUUGCGUUGAUUACGUCCCUGCCCUUUGUACACACCGCCCGUCGCUCCUACCGAUUGAAUGGUCCGGUGAAGCGUUCGGACCGUGGCCUUUGGACGGUUCGCCGUCUGUUGGCUGCGGGAAGUUCGUUAAACCUUAUCAUUUAGAGGAAGGAGAAGUCGUAACA